rnacentral:tRNA from 1 species
GGACCAGUGGUGUAGUGGUAACACAUUACGUCUGGGCGUGAAGGGGAGUGGUUCGAUUCCUUUCCGGUCCA